UACGGAGGGUGCAAGCGUUAUCCGGAUUCACUGGGUUUAAAGGGUGCGUAGGUGGGCAGGUAAGUCAGUGGUGAAAUCUCUGGGCUUAACCCAGAACGGCCAGCUGAUACUGCUUUGCUAGAGUGCAGAAGGGGCAAUCGGAAUUCUUGGUGUGAGCGGUGAAAUGCGUAGAUAUCAAGAGGAACACCUGAGGUGAAGACGGGUUGCUGGGCUGACACUGACGCUGAGGCGCGAAAGCCAGGGGAGCAAACGGG
rnacentral:rRNA from 1 species